UAUCGCUUUGUUCAAAAUGGAUGAUGGUACAGAUAUCGAUGAUGAUGAAAUUGUGCAAUAUUUAAAUCCCGGUGCAAUAGUCUAUGCUUUAAAUGCUGAUGAAGCUAUCAGAAGCUUGGCAACAACAUUAUCUAUAAUACCCGGCACACCAGACAAUACAUUCGAACCAUUGCAGACUUCUACACCAGAAACCAGCAUGACUAGCAUAACUUCAGCUGCAGAUGUGCAUCAAAUGGAAGACAUGAAAGAGGAACAGCCAAGCACGAGCAAGCAAGUUGUACGUAAACGACCAAGGGACGUGCCUGUUACUGUGAUUUGAAGUAUUAACGACGUUUCAGUUAUUGUGGCAUUAAAGAAGCAUUCAAAAGAAAAGUGGAUAGUAGAAGAGGGUAACAAAGCCGUAAUGGCACGUGAAGCUCGAUUGACAAUGGUCAAGGCAGCAUGUAGUCAUUUCAUUGACUUAUUUGGAGAUUAUCCACCAACAGAAAAGAAAGUGCUGAUGGCAAAAAGCAUCAUAGAAGCUUUUCCUAACUAAAAAUCAAGUUUCGGCGAA
rnacentral:lncRNA from 1 species